GGAGAGAUGGCCGAGUGGUUGAAGGCGCACGCCUGGAACGCGUGUAGGGUGUAACAGCCCUCGUGGGUUCGAAUCCCACUCUCUCCGCCA
rnacentral:tRNA from 1 species